rnacentral:pre_miRNA from 1 species
UCGCGUAUUUAAGGUUUCAAUCGAGAAUGUCCUUUCAUUAUUCAGAAUGAAAUUUGACUUACGCAUC